rnacentral:rRNA from 1 species
AAUGAACGCUGGCGGCGCGCCUAAUACACGCAAGUCGAGCGAGAAGACGUAGCAAUACGUUUGUAAAGCGGCGAACGGGUGAGGAAUACAUGGGUAACCUACCCUAGAGUGGGGAAUAACUAGCCGAAAGGUUAGCUAAUACCGCGUACGCUCCUUGGACUUCGGUUCAGGGAGGAAAGCGAUGCCGAGGGUAUCGCGCUCUUGGAUGGGCUCAUGUCCUAUCAGCUUGUUGGNGAGGUAACGGCUCACCAAGGCUUCGACGGGUAGCUGGUCUGAGAGGACGAUCAGCCACACUGGCACUGCGACACGGGCCAGACUCCUACGGGAGGCAGCAGUAAGGAAUAUUGCGCAAUGGGCGAAAGCCUGACGCAGCGACGCCGCGUGGGGGA